rnacentral:rRNA from 1 species
CAGCAGCCGCCGCGGUAAUACGGAGGGUGCAAGCGUUAAUCGGAAUUACUGGGCGUAAAGCGCACGCAGGCGGUCUGACAAGUCAGAUGUGAAAUCCCCGGGCUUAACCUGGGAACUGCAUUUGAAACUGUCAGGCUGGAGUCUUGUAGAGGGGGGUGGAAUUCCAGGUGUAGCGGUGAAAUGCGUAGAGAUCUGGAGGAAUACCGGUGGCGAAGGCGGCCCCCUGGACAAAGACUGACGCUCAGGUGCGAAAGCGUGGGGAGCAAACAGGAUUAGAUACCCCUGUAGUCCCUGUCUCUUAUAA